UAGUCGCUGGAAAAUCGCCAGUAGUAAACUUUUGAUAUCGCUUUACAUCUAAUCUCGCUGUUACGGAUCCAUUUCAAUUAAUAAAUAAAAAGUCUCGUACGAAAUCCACGCAUAAUGAGAUAUACAUUUCUUCUCGCAAUUCUGAUUAUAUGGGUGACGCUAAUCACAGCCGGUCGAAGGCGGCAUAGGCCUGACGAUGAAAGCCAAGUGCAAACGCGUCCCAGACCGCCAAUACCGCAUCGUCCUCACCGUCCUCGUCAGAAACGAGAAACAAGAAUGGACCCAUUCUUUGCUUCUGAACAUUUAGACAACCAAUUUACUUACAUUAGUCAAUUUCAUAAUUUCUAACAUUUCAUUAAAAAUAAAGUAUAAUAUCAAUAAUAUUACUUCGAAAAACAAACACAAUUUAUCAUAAAGUCGCAAUUAUAUUCAAAUGUUAGAAAAAAAAAAUUAUAUGAGUAACUUCGUAAAAUUAUUCAAUAACGUAUUAGGAUACCAGUUAGAAAAUACAAAAUAUAAGAAGAAUAUGUGUUUUGAAGGAGCCUCAAACGGUGACGGCUACAUGUCUCGUGAAAAUUUCAGCAAAGCCCAAUGGUCAAAAAAAACCUCAACCUGUACAAAAACCCGUUGAACAAGAAAUGCCUGUUUCACAAGUGAUUUCAUCCUCACCGAAAAAGAAAAAGUUAACGUCGCAGAAUUCAAAGUUUCUUCAGAGAAUUUCCCUCACAGGACCGUAAAUUGAACGUUUUGAAUACACUGUAAAUAAAUUUUAUGUAUAACGUAGCGUAAUAUUUUACUAUUUAUAGUAGAUUUGUGUGUAUGCAAUGAGCGAUAUUUAUGUGAUCUCAAUAUUACUUUUACAAAACAUGUGAAAAUUGCAUAUGAAUCAUGUGCAUAUUGUAAUAAACAAUACUAUCUUUCUUUUUUUGAUAAA